AAGGUACCCUAAAAUAAUAAUAUUCUCAGAUGCAUUGAUUUCACUACGUCUGAGUACAUUCCAUUAGAAAUAAAAUCAUUCUUUCUGCUGUUUCAUUAGGACCAUUUGAGCAGUGUGUGUGCUGAUCCUUUUCAGGUAUCACAAGUUUGAGACCUAGGGGAUAAUCAAGAAAGGAAACAUAUGGCUUAAUAGUGAGGAAUUUAUGUGAACUUGCCGGCAGAACUCAGGAGGCUGGCAGAGACUGCCCACGUGGCAGUAGAACUUGGAUGGCUUUUGGCAGAAAGAUUUAUCGUAACAAAAUGGUGUCAGGAGUGUAUAAACUGGACAUGCAGGUCCCACAAGAAAGUGACUGGUAAACUUACUAAACAAGACAAGGGUUCCUGUUAAAUGGAGAAGUGUGCCAGACACACUAUGGCCUAUGGGCUGAAGAUGGAUGCCUCAACGUUACAGAGGAACUUUGGGUGACUGUCCAGUCUUUCCUACAGGCCAAAUUCAGAAGGCAUUUUCUCAAUUAGGAUUUCCCACUUCUCAGGUUCUUUGUCAGUCCACCAUCAAGAAAAAUAAAUCACGACCAGGCACAUAUGAAGUUGGACGAAGAACAUGGCAGCAUGCUCCUCAUGGUACUAAAUUUGCAAAAAGGGAAAUCGGGUAAUAGAGUUUGAAUGACAUCGUGAGAUAAAAUGUGUCAGAGCUAAAUUUCCUACAUGGGGAUCCAGAAAGGCUUCUGCAUGAAUACCUAAAGGAGAAGUCCAUCCUGCACUGCAUACCCAGGAUAAAUAGGAUGCCAGAAACAUGAAGUACCUCUCAUGGAAAGAUGCAUGUGUGUAACACAGACAGCUCAAGAAAUUGAUGGCUUAUUCACAGCAAGCACUGAUAGAAGAACAAGACUUUUUAAGCUCUUUGAAGUCAGAAUGAAUGCCUGAAACUACUAGAUGAGAGGCGCAGAUAUGCUGAAUUCAGGGUUUAACUUCAUACAUCGGAUUAGGUCUUUCUCUGUCACCUCUACCCUUGAUUUGUCCCCUUUACUCCAUUUCCUAUCUUUACCCUUUAUGUUAGAAGUAUGAUUUGAUUUAUGAUUGACUAAGUUCUCACAGUUGAAAAACUGCACUGAGUCACCAAAGAAACUUUGGACAACUGCACAGUCUUGUGAAUGGUAAGGAAUAUGGAUAACAAACAUGACAAAAAUUAAGUUUUCACUAUUUGAUAACCUUACUUCUAUGGGAACAAAGGAUUAAAAGUAGCAUGUUUCAUGUUAGUGGAACUGGCCAGUAGUAAUGAUGUUUGUCAAAAGAAUGUGAAUUUGAAUGUUUUGAUUUAGAAAAAAACCAAAAAGAAAAUUUAGGUAAGCUGUUUUCUCUAUACCACUUUAGACCAGAUCACACUGGAAAUGUCUGGACAUUUGUAAAUUUCACAAACAUAAAGGUUUGCCUAGUGUACAACAUAGACUUCCUACUCCAUGAAAUAGGACCCACUGUCUGCAGAGGCAAAAUUAUUAAGUCCAGCUCUGCCAUGGAUACAGAGACUUACCUCAUUACAUAAAGAAUGUGUUUUCUUUUGUUUGUUGAUGUGUCAGCUUCUUUAAAAAAUGCUUUCACCUGGUAUUGGUUUUGGUUUUCUGCAAAAUACAUUUCACAAGUAUUUUUGCCUGUUACUGAUGGUGGGAAAUAUCUGAAUACAUGAUCAUGACCAUUCAGAGUUAAGAUGUAAAAAUAUUUAAAGAAAGGAACACCUUAGACAGAUAGAAGAAUAAGUAAUUUAGACAGACCCAGUGAACCCUGUUGAUGUUUUAAUUAGAAUGAGUUUAUGACUACAUGAGUUUUGUGUAUGAAUAGGAAAUUUCUUCAAGGAACCUUCUGACAGAUGCUGCAAAU
rnacentral:lncRNA from 1 species